rnacentral:rRNA from 1 species
GACGAACGCUGGCGGCGUGCUUAACACAUGCAAGUCGAACGGAAAGGCCCUGCUUUUGUGGGGUGCUCGAGUGGCGAACGGGUGAGUAACACGUGAGUAACCUGCCCUUGACUUUGGGAUAACUCCAGGAAACUGGGGCUAAUACCGGAUAGGAGCUCCUGCUGCAUGGUGGGGGUUGGAAAGUUUCGGCGGUUGGGGAUGGACUCGCGGCUUAUCAGCUUGUUGGUGGGGUAGUGGCUUACCAAGGCGUUGACGGGUAGCCGGCCUGAGAGGGUGAACGGCCACAUUGGGACUGAGAUACGGCCCAGACUCCUACGGGAGGCAGCAGUGGGGAAUAUUGCACAAUGGGCGGAAGCCUGAUGCAGCAACGCCGCGUGCGGGAUGACGGCCUUCGGGUUGUAAACCGCUUUCGCCUGUGACGAAGCGUGAGUGACGGUAAUGGGUAAAGAAGCACCGGCUAACUACGUG